CUAAUUUUGAUUUUGCUAUUCAUUGCAGGUUACGUAAUCCUAUUGUAAAAACAAAAUUAUCAUAUCUAACUACCAAGUGCUUUCGACAAGAUUAUGAUACCGUUGAUUGCUCUACUACACUCUCAAAUACAUGGACGAUAUCUUACAAUCCAUGAAGGAGGUUGGAGUCGAAAACAUUGAUGCCGUUUUAUAUGACACUCCAAGGGAAACACGCCCUUUGAGAGAUGGGAAAAUGUGUGAAUUGAAAGACAAGAUUACCGCGUAUCUUGCUAAUUUUAGUUCUUGGUAAAUAAUGUAAUUAGUUUAGAUUUAGGAUUUUAAUUUGUAUAUGUACAUAUUAUUAUAUAUACGAUCGAGAGUUUACA